rnacentral:tRNA from 1 species
UCCCUGGUGGCUCAGAGGUUAAAGCGUCUGCCUGCAAUGCAGGAGACCCAGGUUCAAUCCCUGAGUUGGGAA